AUUGAACGCUGGCGGCAGGCCUAACACAUGCAAGUCGAGCGGUAGAGAGGUGCUUGCAUCUCUUGAGAGCGGCGGACGGGUGAGUAAUGCCUAGGAAUCUGCCCUAGUGGUGGGGGAUAACGUUCGGAAACGGACGCUAAUACCGCAUACGUCCUACGGGAGAAAGCGGGGGAUCUUCGGACCUCGCGCCAUUAGAUGAGCCUAGGUCGGAUUAGCUAGUUGGUGAGGUAAUGGCUCACCAAGGCGACGAUCCGUAACUGGUCUGAGAGGAUGAUCAGUCACACUGGAACUGAGACACGGUCCAGACUCCUACGGGAGGCAGCAGUGGGGAAUAUUGGACAAUGGGCGAAAGCCUGAUCCAGCCAUGCCGCGUGUGUGAAGAAGGCCU
rnacentral:rRNA from 1 species